GCGAAAGCCUGAACCAGCGACGCCGCGUGGAGGACGAAGGCCGAAAGGUCGUAAACUCCUUUUGUAAGGGAAAAAGGAAUGGAGUGCAAAUAGUGCUUCAUUCUUGAUUGUACCUUGCGAAUAAGCCCCAGCCAACUACGUGCCAGCAGCUGCGGUAAAACGUAGGGGGCGAGCGUUAUCCGGAAUUACUGGGUGUAAAGGGUACGUAGGCGGAUUUACAAGUUGGGUAUAAAAACUUGAGGCUUAACCUCAAGCUUGUGCCCAAUACUGUAAGUCUGGAGAGCAGGAGAGGGAAGUGGAAUUCCCGGUGUAGCGGUAAAAUGCGUAGAUAUCGGGAGGAACACCAGUGGCGAAGGCGGCUUCCUGGCCUGUCUCUGACGCUCAGGUACGAAAGCUAGGGGAGCAAACAG
rnacentral:rRNA from 1 species